rnacentral:rRNA from 1 species
AGCCUAUACAGGUGUUGUAUGGCUGUCGUCAGCUCGUGUCGUGAGAUGUUCGGUUAAGUCCGCUAACGAGCGCAACCCUCGUCGUAUGUUAUAUGUGUCAUACGAGACUGCCGGUAAAAGCCGGAGGAAGGUGAGGAUGGAUGUCAAGUCAGCAUGACCUUUAUAUCCAGGGCUACGACACACGCUACAAUGGUCUGUACAAUGGGUAGCCAAGCGCGAGGCGGAGCCAAUCCUGAAAGCAAGGCCUCAGUUCAGAUUGCAGUCUGCAACUCGACUGCAUGAAGCCGGAGUUGCUAGUAACCGACAGGUCAGCAAUACUGCGGUGAAUACGUUCCCGGGUCCGUUU